rnacentral:tRNA from 1 species
GCCUGUGUAGCUCAGUUGGUAGAGCAGCUGAUUUGUAAUCAGCAGGUCGGGAGUUCGAGUCUGUCCACAGGCUCCA